CCUACAUCAUUUGAAAUAUCAAAAUUACCUCUACAAAUAUUUAUUUUAGAAAAAACUUCGAAAACCCCUCGUACCCUAUGAUUUAAAAUGUAUGUACCCUGUGGUUUUGCACUUUCUCACUUUAGUAUUCUAUGAUUUAAAGUGUAUCAAGUUAGUACUCUGUGAUUUUAUUUUUGCAUCAAGUUAGUACCCUUUAGUUUUAUUUUUGUAUCACGUUAGUACCAUGUGGUUUUAUUUUUUUCUUAAUUAAAUAUUAAACCACAGGGUACUAAAGUGAGAAGGUGCAAAACCACAGGGUACUAACUUGAUACACUUUAGACCACAGGGUACUAAAAUGAGAAAGUGCAAAACCACAUGGUAUUAACUUGAUACACUUUAAACCACAGGGUACUAAAGUGAGAAAGAGUGAAACCACAAGCAGAGCUUUUGAAGUUUUCCUUUAUUUUGUUUCGAAGAUACCCUCAACUUAUU
rnacentral:lncRNA from 1 species